rnacentral:lncRNA from 1 species
CUCUUCCCAAUUACAGAGUGUGCAGGACAGAAACUAUCUUCUGCAUAUUCAUAUCCACACUCCCCCACCAUGGUGCUUAGAAUAGUACCAAACUUGUAGUAGGUGUUCAAUAAACUCUUGUUAAUCAUUUGAUUUCCAUACUGAGUUGAAUUGUUUUGGUUUCUUUUAGUGUUGCUGUAUGCUAGUGGGUUCUAAUCUCAAAUAUGAAGAUCUCCCUAUGAGAAAAGUGGUAUCUUGAGUAUUGGUUAGAUUGAGAAGACACUUGAUGAUAAAGGCUUUUAUAUGACUUAUCUUUUAUUCAUUCUCAACAGAGACUGCACACAUUUGAGAAACAGUAGUGCCUGUAUGUGUCUGGAUCUGGGGAAUGAGAAGUGACUGCUUAACAGGUAUAGGGUUUCCAUGUGGGGUGAUGAAAAGUUCUGGAACUAGAUAAUGCUGAUAGUUGCCCAACACUAUGCAGAUACUUAAUACCACUAAAUUGUACGCUUGAAAACGA